rnacentral:rRNA from 1 species
UACGGAGGAUGCAAGCGUUAUCCGGAAUGAUUGGGCGUAAAGCGUCCGCAGGUGGCCAUGUAAGUCUGCUGUUAAAGAGUCAUGCUCAACAUGAUAAGAGCAGUGGAAACUACAUGGCUAGAGUGCGUUCGGGGCAGAGGGAAUUCCUGGUGUAGCGGUGAAAUGCGUAGAUAUCAGGAAGAACACCGGUGGCGAAGGCGCUCUGCUAGGCCGCAACUGACACUGAGGGACGAAAGCUAGGGGAGCGAAUGGG